rnacentral:rRNA from 1 species
UGAGUACGAGAUGCUACGGCAUCGAAGCAGUCUAUGUCAUACUUCCAAGAAAAGCUUGCAAUGUCAUAAACAAAUAAUGCCUGUACCAUAACCGACACAGGUGGGUAAGUAGAGUAUACUAAGGGGCGCGAGAUAACUCUCUCUAAGGAACUCGGCAAAAUGACUCCGUAACUUCGGGAGAAGGAGUGCCUUAUUUUUAUAAGGUUGCAAUAACAAGAUCCAAGCAACUGUUUACCAAAAACACAGGUCUCCACUAAGUCGUAAGACGAUGUAUGGGGGCUGACGCCUGCCCAGUGCCAGAAGGUUAAAGAAGUUGGUUAGCAUUAGCGAAGCUGAUAACUGAAGCCCUGGUGAACGGCGGCCGUAACGAUAACGGUCCUAAGGUAGCGAAAUUCCUUGUCGGGUAAGUUCCGACCCGCACGAGAGGCGUAAUGAUUUGGAUACUGUCUCGGAGAGGGGCUCGGUGAAAUAGACUUGUCUGUGAAGAUGCGGACUACCUGCACCUGGACAGAAAGACCCUAUGAAGCUUUACCGUAACUUGAGAUUGAAAUUGGACUUUAUCUGCGCAGUAUAGGUGGGAGACGUUGAAAAUAUUCUUGCGGGAAUAUUGGAGUCAUCAGUGAGAUACCACUCUUAUAAUGUUAGAUUUCUAACUUUGUAUCAUUAUCUGGUCAAAGAACAGUUUCAGGCGGGCAGUUUGACUGGGGCGGUCGCCUCCCAAACGGUAACGGAGGCGCACAAAGGUUUCCUCUGAACGUGUAGAAAUCGUAUCUAGAGUGUAAAGGCAUAAGGAAGCUUGACUGUGAGACCUACAAGUCGAGCAGGGACGAAAGUCGGUCUUAGUGAUCUGACGGUGCUGAGUGGAAAGGCCAUCACUCAACGGAUAAAAGUUACUCUAAGGAUAACAGGCUGAUCUCCCCCAAGAGUUCACAUCGACGGGGAGGUUUGGCACCUCGAUGUCGGCUCAUCGCAUCCUGGGGCGGUAGUACGUCCCAAGGGUUGGGCUGUUCGCCCAUGAAAGCGGUACGCGAGCUGGGUUCAGAACGUCGUGAGACAGUUCGGUCCAUAUCCGGUGUAGGCGUUAGAAUAUUGAGAGGAGCCUUCUUUAGUACGAGAGGACCGAGUAGGACAUACCUCUGGUGUACCAGUUAUCGUGCCAACGGUAAACGCUGGGUAGCCAUGUAUGGAGAGGAUAACCGCUGAAAGCAUCUAAGUGGGAAGCCCACCUCAAGAUAAGUAUUCCC